rnacentral:lncRNA from 1 species
AGGUACUGAAAUAGGUAUGUUGAAGGGAUAUCUACACUUCCAUGGUCAUUGCAUCAUUAUUCACAAUAGCCAUGAUAUGGAUCAACCUAAAUGUCCACUAAUGGAGACAGACCAGGAAGGAGCUGAAAGAGGUUCUCCAGGUGAAGAAGAGUAUAUCUCAGGGCCCUGAGAUCUUACCCAGCAGGGAGUGGCAUGAGCUACAGGAGGAUACAGCCUAGUUUUCAAGAAAAGGGUCCAGAAUGGGAUCCCUCUUGCCUGGAUUUAAGGGAAUUUUUCUGUUGUAUCAGAAGUGGGAUUCAAAGUAGAGGUUCCAGUGACUGCCAGGAGCUUCAAGUGACCAAAUGAGCUAACUUCUGGACCCAUUGCAUCCAUUGCUCUCACACAACCACUGAAGAUUGUGGAAUCCAGAGAGUCUGUAUCUUCUGGAAAUGACAUCAGAGAAAGACUGCCCUUGUGACCCACAUUGCAGCAAAACUUUGGGACCUUAAACUUGGGUCCACAUUUCAUAACUCAAACAGACCCCUCAAGACUCUUGGAACUAUAUACCCAUUGGAGACCUUAACAUAAACAU